UACGGAGGGAGCUAGCGUUGUUCGGAAUUACUGGGCGUAAAGAGCGUGUAGGCGGCCAGGUAGGUCGGUUGUGAAAACUGGAGGCUCAACCUUCAGAGGUCGACCGAAACCAUCUGGCUAGAGUCCGGGAGAGGAGAGUGGAAUUCCUGGUGUAGCGGUGAAAUGCGCAGAUAUCAGGAAGAACACCCGUGGCGAAAGCGGCUCUCUGGAACGGUACUGACGCUGAGACGCGAAAGCGUGGGGAGCGAACAGG
rnacentral:rRNA from 1 species